rnacentral:pre_miRNA from 1 species
AAAGUACUCCCUCCAUCCCAAAAUUCUUGUCUUAGAUUUGUCCAGAUACGGAUGUAUCAAGUCACAUUUUAGUAUUAGAUACAUCCGUAUCUAGACAAAUCUAAGAUAAGAAAUUUGGGACAGAGGGAGUAGUUG